rnacentral:tRNA from 1 species
GCGAAAGUGGCGGAAUUCGGUAGACGCGCUGGCUUUAGGUGCCAGUGGGGGAACCCGUGAGAGUUCGAGUCUCUCCUUUCGCA